rnacentral:rRNA from 1 species
GAUUUUUAUUUAACGGCCGCGGUAUCUUAACCGUGCGAAGGUAGCGCAAUCACUUGCCCUUUAAAUGAGGACCUGUAUGAAUGGCGUGACGAGGGCUUAACUGUCUCCUCCCUCCAGUCAAUGAAAUUGAUCUCCCCGUGCAGAAGCGGGGAUAAGCUUAUAAGACGAGAAGACCCUGUGGAGCUUUAGGCAACUAUAAACUUUGUAAAGAAAACUCACCUAACGAGACAAAACAAUAAGAACCUUAAUAUACUGCCUUCGGUUGGGGCGACCGCGGGGUAAUAAAAACCCCCCAUGUGGAAUGGGGACAACAAUCCCCUAAACUUAGAGUGACAACUCAAAGCAACAAAAUCUUUGACCUAAGAUGAUCCGGCUUUACCGAUCAACGAAACCAGUUACCCCAGGGAUAACAGCGCUAUCCUUUCCUAGAGUCCCUAUCGACGAAAGGGUUUACGACCUCGAUGUUGGAUCAGGACAUCCUAAUGGUGCAACCGCUAUUAAGGGUUUGUUUGUUCAACAAUUAAAGUCCUACGUGAUU